CGUAAUGGAAAGGCAAGGAAAACUUGAUAGAAUGCAUGCAUAUGAUAAAGAAGUAUGUGCAGGAUUUAAUUUCACGACUAAAGAGGACUCCGAAGAAGAAUUAAAGUUCUGGUGGAUCAAAGAUUGAGGAAUGAUUUGGUUUUAACUGGUUUGCAUCUUAUGAACAAAGUACAUAAUAUGAUUUAAAUUGAUGAUUUAUAGUUACACCUAUUGAAAUUCUGUAUCUCAAUGAUAUCCUGGCUUAUCGAUACGAUAUCCUGUAAAUCCACUCACACACAUAAUUUUUACUCACACACGUAAAUCCUGUAAAUUCACUCACACACAAAUCUUAAAAAAGAUGUUUAUAUUUUUAUCUAUAAAUUGUAAAUUUUAUAUAAAUAAAUUGUAUAUUUUUUA
rnacentral:lncRNA from 1 species